UCUCGCCUGGAACGUAGCUGGAGAUAAACACCAGCAACCCUCCCGACCCCAUUAGGGACAAAGGGCGAAUAGAAAAUGGAUGGAUGGAGAAUGAGAUUUUUAAAAGACUCAUAUGUUUAGGUCCACCUGGUGGUGCAAUGAGGAACUGCAUGUAAGGGGUCCUUCAGGCGCUCUCACGGCUUCCCCACCAGAACUCUGAGGAACGCUGGUGGAGCUGUGGGGCCACUUGCAGGCAGUCAGAAGUCACAUAGUGAAGAUUUAUUCUGUGUCGUACCAGUUUGACUGAAGGAUAUUUACUUCCUCUCUUCUAUCUGUGAACUUCACAUUUUCCUUUCCUGUAACUUGAUAUCAACAUUUAUUACUUACUGAUGAGAGACUGAGGACAGACGGAGGUGUGCAGGUGGAGCAUUCAUAGUAACCUGAUCCAUGUCUGCAUUCAACAUGGUCUCCAUCAGGGUCAAAGGUCAACAAGCUGAUA